ACGAAGGGGGCUAGCGUUGUUCGGAUUUACUGGGCGUAAAGCGCACGUAGGCGGCUUGUUAAGUCAGAGGUGAAAGCCUGGAGCUCAACUCCAGAACUGCCUUUGAUACUGGCAGGCUCGAGUAUGGAAGAGGUUGGUGGAACUCCGAGUGUAGAGGUGAAAUUCGUAGAUAUUCGGAAGAACACCAGUGGCGAAGGCGGCCAACUGGUCCAUUACUGACGCUGAGGUGCGAAAGCGUGGGGAGCAAACAG
rnacentral:rRNA from 1 species